rnacentral:rRNA from 1 species
GAUGAACGCUGGCGGCGUGCCUAAUACAUGCAAGUCGAGCGAACGGACGGGAACCUGCCUCCACACCGUUAGCCGCCGACCGGGUAGUUAAACCUUGGCAACCCUCCCUUUAAGCCGGGGUAACCUUCGGGAAACCGGACCUAAUACCGGUUACUAUAUCCAACACCAUGGUUAAAGCUUGAAAGACGCUUUUCCUUACACUUUACAGUGGGGCCGCGCCGCAUUAGCUAGUUGGUUAGGUAACGGCUUACCAAGGCAACGAUGCGUAGCCGACCUGAGAGGGUGAUCGGCCACACUGGAACUGAGACACGGCCCAGACUCCUACGGGAGGCAGCAGUAGGGAAUCUUCCGCAAUGGGCGAAAGCCUGACGGAGCAACGCCGCGUGAGUGAUGAAGGUCUUCGGAUCGUAAAACUCUGUUAUCAGGGAAGAACAAGUGCCUAAGUAACUACGCGCGUCUUGACGGUACCUAAUCAGAAAGCCACGGCUAACUACGUG